GGGUUAGCACGGGCAAAGAGCCGGGGGAUUACGGAGGUGUAGAAGUUUGGCAGGUAGUAGAGGGAGUAAAGCGCGCGCAGGCGGCUUCUUAAGUCCAUCUUAAAAGUGCGGGGCUUAACCCCGUGAGGGGAUGGAAACUGAGAGGCUGGAGUAUCGGAGAGGAAAGUGGAAGUCCUAGUGUAGCGGUGAAAUGCGUAGAGAUUAGGAAGAACACCGGUGGCGAAGGCGACUUUCUGGACGACAACUGACGCUGAGGCGCGAAAGCGUGGGGAGCAAACAGGAUUAGAUACCCCGGUAGUC
rnacentral:rRNA from 1 species